GCCCAGGUGGCGGAAUUGGUAGACGCGCUAGUUUCAGGUACUAGUGGGCGAAAGCCCGUGGAAGUUCGAGUCUUCUCCUGGGCACCA
rnacentral:tRNA from 1 species